UUAUAUCCGCAUAGAACAGGUGUCUUCUCAAAAGGGUUUUAAAACAGGCUCUUUUGAAGACUUAAUAGGGAAGCUGGUGAAAUUCCAGCGCGGUCCCGCCACUGUAAAUGGAAGCUGUCUGUAAAUCCACUGUACAGGAAUGUAUGGGAAGGAGCAGAACGCAUUGACCAUGAGCCAGGAGACCUGCCUGAUUCUUAAGCACCCA
rnacentral:ncRNA from 2 species